rnacentral:rRNA from 1 species
UGGGGAAUUUUCCGCAAUGGGCGCAAGCCUGACGGAGCAACGCCGCGUGAGGGAGGAAGGCCUGUGGGUCGUAAACCUCUUUUCUCAGGGAAGAAGGACUGACGGUACCUGAGGAAUCAGCAUCGGCUAACUCCGUGCCAGCAGCCGCGGUAAGACGGAGGAUGCAAGCGUUAUCCGGAAUUAUUGGGCGUAAAGCGUCCGUAGGUUGUUUUAGAAGUCUGUUGUUAAAGCCCACAGCUCAACUGUGGAUGGGCAAUGGAAACUGUAAGACUAGAGUGUGGUAGGGGUAGAGGGAAUUCCUAGUGUAGCGGUGAAAUGCGUAGAUAUUAGGAAGAACACCAGUGGCGAAGGCGCUCUACUGGGCCAUAACUGACACUGAUGGACGAAAGCUAGGGGAGCGAAAGGGAUUAGAUACCCCUGUAGUCC